CUGCCUUUGUCUUGAAAUUGAUCAUCAUUGGCUUUGAAAUGCCUGCUGCCAUCUCUAUUGCCUCGAUUUCCCCUUCCUCUGUCUCUACUCCUUCCUCUAGAGUUUGAGGAAUGAGUAGAAGCCUUUAAAGCUUGCUCUUUUGUAGUUGAACUUCGGUUCAGCUUUUGUUUGUAAACCAACAAGGAGCUUUAGAGUUCAUCAAAGGAGAGUGCGUCUAUGUC
rnacentral:lncRNA from 1 species